AAUUCCCUACUAUGUUUGUGAUAGUAAAGAUUUUUUUUCGCCAACACUUUUUACCCGGGAAUCCAAAUAUCUGAUCAGGGAUGUCAGGCCUCCGGAAGGAAGGCAGAACUGAUUAUGAGGAUAUCCAGAAUGGAUUGAAGGGCUUAAAAAAGUGCUUUGCUCACGGCAUCAAGUGGGGAAUUU
rnacentral:other from 2 species